rnacentral:rRNA from 1 species
AGUGAACGCUGGCGGCAGGCCUAACACAUGCAAGUCGAACGGCAGCACAAGAGAGCUUGCUCUCUGGGUGGCGAGUGGCGGACGGGUGAGGAAUGCAUCGGAAUCUGCCCAUUUGUGGGGGAUAACCUCGGGAAACCGGGACUAAUACCGCAUACGACCUACGGGUGAAAGCAGGGGAUCUUCGGACCUUGCGCAGAUGGAUGAGCCGAUGCCGGAUUAGCUAGUUGGAGGGGUAAAGGCCCACCAAGGCGACGAUCCGUAGCUGGUCUGAGAGGAUGAUCAGCCACGCUGGGACUGAGACACGGCCCAGACUCCUACGGGAGGCAGCAGUGGGGAGUAUUGGACAAUGGGCGCAAGCCUGAUCCAGCCAUGCCGCGUGUGUGAAGAAGGCCUUCGGGUUGUAAAGCACUUUUGUUGGGAAAGAAAAGCAGCCGGUUAAUACCCGGUUGUCAUGACGGUACCCAAAGAAUAAGCACCGGCUAACUUCGUG